UGUUGAAGGCUGAGCUUCACAACAUGGAAAGAACGCAGAAGAGGGAAGGAGUAGAUAUGACAUACCUGAAAAAUGUAAUCUUAAAGCUUCUUGAAACAGAUGCACAAGUGUCAACAAGCGUACCGAGCAUCCGGAGAUGUUCCUCCUAGUCCAGUGAGUGAUGCUUCAGGAUCUGCGACUUCUCUUUUCUCAAGAUUCUCAUUUUCAUGACCACAGAAGUGAGAUUGUAGAUGCACGGAAACUGGCUGCUCCAGCUAACCAACUGCUUGCCUCCAGAUUCAAAGGUGGAGGGUGCGGUCAUAGUAAAUCUUGUAUUCUUUUGUAACGGUGAACCCCUUGUUUAUCAACACUGUCCAGAAAAUGUAAAGUACGACAUAGCCAUUAUACGUCACGAAGAGAUAGAGAGAGGGUGAGUGAACAUUUUGGCCGGGAUCUGUAAGGAACCCCCUAUUCUCCAUUUAUUGUAGAGUGUAACAACAGAAGAGCAACGGUGUGAUUUUGGAGAUUAUAUUGGGACAAGAGUACCUAUCAGAAUGUUGAAGGCGCGGUUCUACGCAGCAUAAGAUUUUACGCAUAAUCCGAUAAUGGUACAGGAUAAAUCUCAAUAGUAGUCAGAUAGUAGAGCCUCCUCAGCGGCAGAUCUUUGUCUUCGACUAUGCCUUGUUCACGUUGCGAUACAUCUAUUGCCUUUGAAGUGAUGAGCUAUAUUUGUUUCCAUGGUAAUGAGUUGAGACCAUGACCAUCCAUUUUGCAUUCCACCAUCUAGAGACUUGAUCACCUCAGUUCAUCAUUCACUCUUGGUCUAAUGGGUGCUGAAGUAAAAAAGAAUAGAAAAUAGUAGGGGUGGGCAUAAAAACCGAUAAACCGAUCAAACCGACCGAACCAACCCAACCCAAACCGAAAAAGAGCGUUUUUUGACCAAACCGAAAAAGUCAAACCUGGAC